GCUUGUCUCAAAGAUUAAGCCAUGCAUGUCUAAGUAUAAGCACCCUUAUACGUCGAAACUGCGUACAGCUCAUUAUAUCAGCAAUUAUUUAUUUGAAGGUCACUAAUUACAUGGAUAACCGUGGUAAUUCUAGAGCUAAUACAUGCGUAAAAUCCCGACUCUCGCGGGGAGGGAUGUAUUUAUUAGAUAAAAAACCAAUGCGGGGCAACCCGGUUUUGUGGUGAAUCAUAGUAACUUUUCGGAUCGCAUAGCUUCACGCUGGCGAUAGUUCAUUCAAAUUUCUGCCCUAUCAGCUUUCGACGGUAGUGUAGUGGACUACCGUGGCGUUAACGGGUGACGGAGAAUUAGGGUUCGAUUCCGGAGAGGGAGCCUGAGAAACGGCUACCACAUCCAAGGAAGGCAGCAGG
rnacentral:rRNA from 1 species